CUGCAAAAUAGGAUUCAUGGUCACUAACAUGAGGCUGAAGUAGGAAUUGGCAAGGCCUGAGAGGCUCAAAAAAUGAAGAUGAACAUGAACUUAAAUGGGAAAAUAACAGCACAAAGUCAUUCAUCAAAGCAGUGAUGGGAAUCAUAGCAGACACAGUGAAUCCCUUCAAACACCUCAUGAGACACAAAAUGCAUGUAUGACCAAUUUCCAGAGGAGCAGGGACAGCCACCAGGGGCUCAGGACCCCAGCCCUCCUCUGCUGGGUCACCCUGGUUAAGUCAGGUCCUCUCUCCUGGCUUCACUUUCCCCUUUUAUAAAAAGAGAAUUGGACAGGUGAGAAAAAAAGCAGAGGAGAGGAAGGGGAGGAGGAGGAUGAGAAAGGGAAGGGAAAGUAGAAGAGAUGGAAAGGAUCAGGAAAGGAGGAAGGGAAGAGGGAGAAAGAAGCAAAAGCUACCACUGCAGUUGAGACAUUGAGAAUUUACUAUGUGCUGGGUGAUCUCAUUUACUACUCACAAAAAUACUCUUGAGGUCAUAGAGAACUAUCCUUAUCUUACAGAAGAAAAAACUGAUAUUUAGUGACGUCCAUGAAGUCACUUGCCCAAGGUCACACAGUGGCAGAGUUGGAACUUAAAGCCACUUCUUUCAGCCUCCAGAGCCCAAUACUAAAAGGUCCCUCUAGGAUGGGCUGUUGGAGGCACCAGGAUAGGAGCUGAACACCACCUCCUCCUUGUGGCCACUCCCCAGAAUUGCAGGUAUGAGUCCCAAAAGCAGGGAAAUGAGGUCUGAGGCCCCAGCACUCUCCGGUUCAUGCUAAGUCCCUCCACCCACCUACCUCUGAGGAGAGGAAAUCAAGCAGGCAAGAGUGGGGCAGGGGCCUCAGAGGCCAGAAGGAAAGAGCCAAGGCAAGCUGCCCGAGGACUCCAAGGACAAAAGCUCUUCAAUGACAGAGAGUGAAAGAGGAGGAGCAGGACGGCCAAGGAGGAUGCCAGCAAGCAGACUCUAAAAAGACAGGUUUAAAAUGCUUCUCUCCCAUCACCUUUGUCUUCACACACACACUCAUAAAAGUUCAAGUACAAUCAGAUAAGCUAAGUCAGAGCUAUCUGAGAGGGACUGGAGAAAUAGCUGAGAAAGAAGUCAAUGGAAGGGAAUGUUUAUCAAAAAAUCCAGGCAGGUUUCAAAUGUGUGUGAAUCUUUGGCUAGGAUCUGGAUCCUCGAGGAAAAUUCCUGGGCUGCUCAGUAAACACCUAGCUGGGAUCUGAGUUCCUCCCCGGCCCGUCUCCCUCAGCCCCACAGUCGGGCUCACGUUGUGGCUGUUCUGCAUCACUCCUAGCACAAACCAUGCCAGGGUAUCUUCUUUACCCCCAUUUUACAGAAGUGGAAACUGAGGUUCAGGAAAGCAAAGUUUCUUGCCUGUGGCCAUAAAACUGGAAGGGAUGGACUCUCAAUGGAGCUUCAGCACAAAAUCAUAUGUCUCCAAAACGUGAGACCAGGCCCAGGUAUCCCUGAAGCUUGUGGAGCUGAGCAACCAAAGAGGCCUUUGUGGGCAGAAGUGUCGCUGCCUUAGGAGCCCUGUCUUCGAUGCCCCUGUAUAGGACCUGGGCCGGAAAGGGGCUUCAUGAGCAAGUGCAAAACUCCAAACAGCAUGGAACUAAAGUCCGAAAAGAAACUCACUGGAGGUGGCGAAGCCCUGGAACCCAUGUGGGCACACUGAAGCUCUGAAUGGGACAGCUGUCCCUGGGGCCUGCUCAGUGUGUACUCACCUCCUUUCACAAGUAAGGAAACAGGAUGAGGGGGAAGAGGGCACAAGGACACAGAGAUAAGCAAGAGCCAGAGGGAGACUUGAAAACAAGGACAGUCGUACCAGUAACAGCAAGAGUAAUAAUUAUGUGACGAUGACACUUAUUGUUUGCUAUGUACCCAGAAGCAUGCUAAGCACUUCAUGAAUUCUCUCAUCUGAGCCCCACAUCAGCCCUGUAAAGUAGAUACUAUUAUUAUCCCCAUUCUACAGAUGAGGAAACUGAAGCCAGAGGCCAGCCCAAGGUCACACGUGAAUGUAUGCAGAUCCGGGACUUGAACCCAGGCAAUCUGGCUCUGGAACCAGCUUUCUGCUGCCUCCUGUUAUCACCAUAACUGUCAGUUCCUAAAUGUGUUAUGACGUGCUGGGCCCCACACACACUUUUAUUCCAUCCUCGCAACACAGCUAGAUAGGAAUCAAGAUCCUGUUUUCCAGGUGAAGAAACUGAAGUGCAGCGAAAUUAAGUAAAUUGCUCAAAAUCUCAAAGAGGUUGACAGGAGACCGUGCUGGGAUUGGAACCCAGGACUUUCCAACACCAGUCUAUGUUCCCUUAACCACUCCAUGCCAGGCAGUGCUGGGCUGGAAACUCAAGAGGAAGAAGGUUUCCCCAGCAGAGCCACCAAACACCCUCCACAUCAAGAACCACAACACAGCUAGUCAGGUGACACCAGAUUCCUGGACAGUUGCCUGCUGCCCUCAACCCCGUCAGGGCCCUGGGCUGUCCAGAUGCUCCACCAACCACAUUCACAGCAGUGUCCAGCAACCAGCACCCCUGUGCAAUCCUCUCCAGCCAUGUUGCAUCACUCACCACAAAGGGCCCACUCCUCCUGUCUUUGCAGAAGCUGUGGCUUCUCCAGGGAACCGAGGCCACAGGGGACACCUGCUGGAGCGGUCGCUCCUUCUCCUGGGGGGCAUCCUCCUUCUCCAGGUCCCGUGGCAGCACCUGAAACACAGAGCACAAGAAAAGGACUUUACUGGGAGCCUUCUCAUUUACAGGAAAAAAUAUAUUAUGCCAAGAGUCCAUUCUGUACCAAAAAGGGCAAAGAAGAAAAUUAAACCCCCAGAAAUCCCCCACUUUAAUGAUCAGAGGUAACAUGUAGGGCGGUAGCUCUGGGUUCCAGUGGCCCAGCCUCAGCCAUUUAAUAACUGUGUGACCUCAGGUGGGUGCCUCAACCUCUCUGAGCCUCAACUAUCUGGGAAAGGAAC
rnacentral:lncRNA from 10 species